UACGUAGGGUGCGAGCGUUAAUCGGAAUUACUGGGCGUAAAGCGUGCGCAGGCGGUUUUAUAAGCCAGAUGUGAAAUCCCCGGGCUUAACCUGGGAACUGCAUUUGUGACUGUAAGACUAGAGUGCGGCAGAGGGGGGUAGAAUUCCACGUGUAGCAGUGAAAUGCGUAGAUAUGUGGAGGGAAUACCGAUGGCGAAGGCAGCCCCCUGGGUCGACACUGACGCUCAUGCACGAAAGCGUGGGGAGCAAACAGG
rnacentral:rRNA from 1 species